rnacentral:rRNA from 1 species
CUUGGUCAUUUAGAGGAAGUAAAAGUCGUAACAAGGUCUCCGUAGGUGAACCUGCGGAGGGAUCAUUAAAGAAUGGUUAUUCUUGACCUUCUACCCACCCACCACUGUGGACAUGAGACGUGCUUCGGCGCCGAGAGGCGUCGCCUUUAUGCAUCGAGUCUUCACUUAGUCUGUUUAAAACAAAUGUCAAAACUUUCAACAAAGGAUCUCUUGGCUCUCGCAUCGAUGAAGAACGUAGCAAAGCGCGAAAUGUGGUGUGAAUUGCAGAACAUUGUGAAUCAUCGAAUCUUUGAACGCACAUUGCACCUCCCGUAGGGGAGGUAUGCCUGUCUGAGCGUCGUUAGCCGAUAAAUCUCUGGAUUUGUGUUGGGCUCCACAUCCGUGUGUUGCCUCGAAGCCAUGGUCUAACCUGCGGACGAGCUCCUUUCGGACCUGCCGUGGCGAUGACUCGAUAUCUGAAUUUGACCUCAGAUCAGGUAGGAAGACCGCCUGAACUUAAGCAUAUCAAUAAGCGGAGGA